GAAAUGCGAUAAGUAAUGUGAAUUGCAGAAUUCAGUGAAUCAUCGAAUCUUUGAACGCACAUUGCGCCCGCCAGUAUUCUGGCGGGCAUGCCUGUUCGAGCGUCAUUUCAACCAUCAAGCCCCCGGCUUGUGUUGGGGACCUGCGGCUGCCCGCAGGCCCUGAAAAACAGUUGCGGGCUCGCUGUCACACCGAGCGUAGUAGCAUACAUUCUCGCUCAGGGCGUGCUGCGGGUUCCGGCCGUUAAACGACCUUCAUAACCCAAGGUUGACCUCGGAUCAGGUAGGAAGACCCGCUGAACUUAAGC
rnacentral:misc_RNA from 1 species